rnacentral:rRNA from 1 species
UAGUGGCGAACGGGUGAGUAACACGUGGGCAAUCUGCCCUGCACUCUGGGACAAGCCCUGGAAACGGGGUCUAAUACCGGAUAAUACUUUCUCCUGCAUGGGGGAGGGUUAAAAGCUCCGGCGGUGCAGGAUGAGCCCGCGGCCUAUCAGCUUGUUGGUGGGGUGAUGGCCUACCAAGGCGACGACGGGUAGCCGGCCUGAGAGGGCGACCGGCCACACUGGGACUGAGACACGGCCCAGACUCCUACGGGAGGCAGCAGUGGGGAAUAUUGCACAAUGGGCGAAAGCCUGAUGCAGCGACGCCGCGUGAGGGAUGACGGCCUUCGGGUUGUAAACCUCUUUCAGCAGGGAAGAAGCGAGAGUGACGGUACCUGCAGAAGAAGCGCCGGCUAACUACGUGCCAGCAGCCGCGGUAAUACGUAGGGCGCAAGCGUUGUCCGGAAUUAUUGGGCGUAAAGAGCUCGUAGGCGGUUUGUCACGUCGGAUGUGAAAGCCCGGGGCUUAACCCCGGGUCUGCAUUCGAUACGGGCAGACUAGAGUGUGGUAGGGGAGAUCGGAAUUNCU